rnacentral:rRNA from 1 species
CAAGGAAUUUUCCCCAAUGGCCGCAAGGCUGAGGGAGCAACGUCGCGUGCAGGAUGACGGCCCUCGGGUUGUAAACUGCUUUUCAGGGGGAAGAUAGUGACGGUACCCCUGGAAUAAGCCCCGGCUAACUCCGUGCCAGCAGCCGCGGUAAGACGGAGGGGGCAAGCGUUGUCCGGACUUACUGGGCGUAAAGGGCGCGUAGGUGGUUUCGUGCGUCGAUGCUGAAAGCGCCGGGCUUAACCCGGCGAGGCGUGUCGAUACGACGAGACUUGAGGCAGAGAGAGGCGAGCGGAAUUCCGGGUGUAGUGGUGAAAUGCGUAGAGAUCCGGAGGAACGCCAGAGACGAAGGUGGCUCGCUGGCUCUGACCUGACACUGAGGCGCGAAAGCGUGGGGAGCGAACCGG